AAAAUAAAAUAUAUAUACACGCGUUCAAAGCAUCUAGUUCUUAUUGCUCGAACAUAAGUAUUGUCCAGAGAGGUUAAGACUUGCUUCUGACCUUUUAUAUAUCAAUUGCUGGGAAGCUCAACAACGGCUCAAGGAGAUGGAAGGAAAAGGCAAACAAGGAGGAACUGAACAAGUAGAGCUCCCACAAAACGAAAAAAGUGAGGCCGCAAAUACCAAUGGAACCAACGAGAGGCCCGCGAGCAUUCGUAGGAAUCCAGUUAAAGCAACAGGUAGCCACCAUGUUGGGGUUUUCAACUGCAACAACCGUGCUCAAGGGACAGGCUGCAACAUUGAAGACAAUAAGAUUGAUUCAAAAGACAGCCAGUUUGUUGGGGUUUACGAUUGUGGCAACGAGUCCAAAAAGCCAUGGUAUAAGUUUUGGUAGAAUAAAUAAGAGAGAAAGUAAGGGAGCUGCUAAAUUAAUUUCAACAUUUCUCAUCUGUCCUUUAUGUGUUUGGUGUUGCUAUGUAUAAAAAUAAAUUGUGGUUGUGUUGACGUGUAUUAGUUGCUUUUUUGGGAGGAUUGAUGAGUUUCAGCGUUGUUCUCGUUGCUAGUCUUCUUAAAUUGCUGUCUAGCGAAAAAUAUAUGAAAGCUUGUAUUGUGGUCAUCGUUCUUUUUGCUAAUCUUGUUAAUAUUCUUGAAUUUGAUAUGAAAGUGUUUGCCCUUUUUUUA